UACAGAGGGGGCAAGCGUUGUUCGGAAUUACUGGGCGUAAAGGGCGCGUAGGCGGCCCGCUAAGUCGAACGUGAAAUCCCUGGGCUCAACCCAGGAACUGCGUCCGAUACUGGCAGGCUUGAAUCCGGGAGAGGGAUGCGGAAUUCCAGGUGUAGCGGUGAAAUGCGUAGAUAUCCGGAGGAACACCAGGGGCGAAAGCGGCCGACUGGUCGAGUACUGACGCUGAGGCGCGACGGCGUGGGGAGCAAACCGG
rnacentral:rRNA from 1 species